rnacentral:rRNA from 1 species
GACGAACGCUGGCGGCGUGCUUAACACAUGCAAGUCGAACGGAAGGGCCCUGCUUUUGUGGGGUGCUCGAGUGGCGAACGGGUGAGUAACACGUGAGUAACCUGCCCUGGACUUUGGGAUAACUUCAGGAAAGUGGGGAUAAUACCUGAUAGGUGCUCCUGCUGCAUGGUGGGGGUUGGAAAGUUUCGGCGGUUGGGGAUGGACUCGCGGCUUAUCAGCUUGUUGGUGGGGUGGUGGCUUACCAAGUCUUUGAUGGGUGGUCGGCCUGAGAGGGUGACCGGGCACAUUGGGACUGCGAGACGGACCAGACUCCUACGGUAGGCAGCAGUGGGAAAUAUUGCACAAUGGGCGGAAGCCUGAUGCAGCAACGCCGCGUGCGGGAUGACGGCUUUCGGGUUGUAAACCGCUUUCGCCUGUGACGAAGCGUGAGUGACGGUAAUGGGUAAAGAAGCACCGGCUAACUACGUG